GUUUCCACAACCAGAGCAACGGCGACGUCAAGAGCAGCAGCAGUACCAACCAUGGUUCUCAAGUAAUCUCUCUUGAUCUCCCUCCUUUCUUCUCGACUGGCAUAUGCAUAGACACGAUUGAAUACAUGUAUUUAUACGAAAUAUUUAACAUCAGCUGGACUUGAAUUUCACUUUUUAUAUGUAUGAUAAUUGAGAUGCAUAGAUUGUUUGUUAUCAUUUCACAUAUUGAUUAUUCAGAUACAAGGAGGGGGAAAUUGGUUCAUUAGCUAUUCUUGUAUUUUUGCCUCUUAAAUGAUAGCAGUUGAACUUGCAUUUGAUGUUUUAAAACCAUCAAUAAAUACGUUGCAUGUUAGGACUGCGCUUUAUCGAUUCAGUGGGGCCAAGUUUUAUCCUGGUAAAGGUAUCAGAUUUGUUUGUGCUGAUUCUCAAGUUAUUCUCAAUGAGGUGUUAUGCUAGUCCAUGAUAGUUUACUUUUCCUUCAGAUACUUGCAGGGGUAUUGGGAUUAUCUGUUGAUAUGAGAUAUCGUAUCAUGUUUCACUUGUUCUUUCAGGUGUUCCUGUUUGCUAAUUCAAAAUGCAAUAGGUAUUUACACAACCGGUUGAAGCCAUCAAAGUUUACAUUACGUGGAUGGCCAUGUAUAGGAAGCAACAUAAGAAGGGUAUUGCUCAAGGGGCUGCAAAGAAGAGGAGAGAGACGUGUCACCAAGAAGCCUUACACUAGGUCCAUUGUUGGUGCCACCUUGGAGGUUAUCCAUAAGAGAAGAACUGAGAAGCCGGAAUUUCGUGAUGCUGCUAGGGAGGCUACUCUCCGGUGUGUAUUUCCUUCAUGUUUAAUUGUUGGCUUUCGUUUUGCUUUAUGCCUGCAUAACAUGUACAAAAUUGCUAUCAUGUUUUGAAAUGAUUAUUCAAUAUCCCCAAAGCAUGUGAUGUUGCAUCAUUAUGCAUGGCCCACAAGUGGGGCCCACUUGCAGCAUGGGAAUGAGAUGGUAGGCAUUGCUCAAUGGCCAUUGAAUAAAUUGUUUUUCUUGUCUGGUGACUUGAGUAUGUGAUUUGUUCGAGUUCUCUUUUAUGAUAUUUUAUGGUGAGGAUGGAUGGUACAAUGUAGUGCAAUUAAGGAAGGAUCAUGAAAACCAAAGAUGAAAAGAAGGCAAAGAAGGCAGAAAUGAUGGCUAAGGUGCAGAUGACACAGGGCAAAGGUCAUGUUCCGAAGAGUGGUACAUCAAAGGGUCCUAAACUUGGUGGUGGCUGUGGAAAGCGUUGAGCUACUAAUCUAUUCUUUGUACUAUGCAAUUUGACAGCUAGCUUAAUCUAUUAUUUUUUCUUGCAAAAUGGAGAUGUAGGGGUAAUGUGUGUACUUUUUGGCCUUGAAAGCAUUCAUGGCAGUGUUUUUGUCCAUUUUGUUUGCCCCACAUCGUUCACCUAAAUUUGAAGUUGAGCAAUUUUAGUUAGUUCAGGAUCUAAUAUCGAUUUUUCAUUUGGAGCUAUAAUGGUCUAGGGAUUUGCUGAAGAGAUGACACCUCUGGUUUGCAUGUAGUAGGUUUUAAGAUAAAUAUCAAGCAGUUGCUUCAAGUUUGAUGAUGUAAGGAUGCAAAAGAUGCUUCAGAGAUGGAGGGAGGGAGUAAUGUGUAUUAAAAAAUAAUGCAUUUUAUAUUCACAGAAG
rnacentral:misc_RNA from 1 species